CAGCAGCCGCGGUAAUACGUAGGCGGCAAGCGUUGUCCGGAAUUAUUGGGCGUAAAGGGAGCGCAGGUGGGACGGUAAGUCGGUCUUAAAAGGCAGGGGCUCAGCCCCUGUAAGGGACAGAAACUAUCGUUCUUGAGUGCCGGAGAGGAAAGCGGAAUUCCCAGUGUAGCGGUGAAAUGCGUAGAUAUUGGGAAGAACACCAGUGGCGAAGGCGGCUUUCUGGACGGCAACUGACACUGAGGCUCGAAAGCCAGGGUAGCGAACGGGAUUAGAUACCCGUGUAGUCCCUGUCUCUUAUACA
rnacentral:rRNA from 1 species